AUCACCUGGGGACCUUGUUAAAAUGCAGAUUCUGAUUCAGUAGAUCUGGGAGGGGCUUAAAAAUCUACAUUUCUAACAAGCUUCCAGGUGAUAAUAC
rnacentral:pre_miRNA from 1 species